CCGGCUACCACAUAUUCGGCCAGCUACGCGCAAUUUCUCGACGACUCCACCCGUUCCAUUCUCUCUCAGCCUCGCAUUGAACAUUAAAAGAGAAUGUGGAGAGAUAGGAGGGAGUGUAGAGACGCAGAUGGUUGAAGGAGUGCACACAC
ensembl:ncRNA ZC404.17 ncRNA